GACGAACGCUGGCGGCGUGCCUAAUACAUGCCAGUAGAACGCACAGUUUAUACCGUAGCUUGCUACACCAUAGACUGUGAGUUGCGAACGGGUGAGUAACGCGUAGGUAACCUGCCUGGUAGCGGGGGAUAACUAUUGGAAACGAUAGCUAAUACCGCAUAAUAUUAAUUAUUGCAUGAUAAUUAAUUGAAAGGUGCAAUUGCACCACUACCAGAUGGACCUGCGUUGUAUUAGCUAGUAGGUGAGGUAACGGCUCACCUAGGCGACGAUACAUAGCCGACCUGAGAGGGUGAUCGGCCACACUGGGACUGAGACACGGCCCAGACUCCUACGGGAGGCAGCAGUAGGGAAUCUUCGGCAAUGGACGAAAGUCUGACCGAGCAACGCCGCGUGAGUGAAGAAGGUUUUCGGAUCGUAAAGCUCGGUUGUAAGAGAAGAACGGGUGUGAGAGUGGAAAGUUCACACUGUGACGGUAUCUUACCAGAAAGGGACGGCUAACUACGUG
rnacentral:rRNA from 1 species